CCCAGGACCAACUUGUUUACUGAUUGUUUUCACUUGGCACAACCAGUUAGCUAAACUUGCUUGACUAUAUGACCAGAGAGUCAUAAAAGACCCCACUGGGAAUUUACCUCCCGGUAGAUUAUCUCCUGAGGUCAAGAUUCAUUGUGCAGAUCUUGAAGGUUCAGUCUGGAGAGGAAGCCCUUGGAGAGCUAAGAAGGACCUUUUGGAGCUUGCGCAUGGGCUGUCUCUGGACCUCCAAUGCUUGCCUGCACUCUUCUCUUGCUGCACUGCAUGCAACCUCUGCCUGUGUAUUAAAGCCUUCUGUGACUCCGCCUUGUGGAUCCUGGUUAAGUUUAGCCAUGUGAAAAAUUUGCUUGAGAUUUGGAAGGCAGAAGUGAAGCAGCAGCCUUUAUGCUCUAAAGCUCAGUGCCGGAUGUCAUCUACUGUGACAGCUGUUGCCUAUUGCUUCUGGUCUACUGGCUGCGCUUAGUGUUGUGGGGAAGCACCCAGACCCACAGCAUCUCCAGCUCUCUCCAGGUCUCCUCUUUCAGCUUCUUCAAGUCCUUAAUUAGAUGGAGAGAAGAUAGUGACUGUAGCUGCACCUAAAUGUGGAGAUUUGGUGGCAGAAAGAAGCUUCUGGUUUGAGAAAUUUUGGAUAUGAAUAUGGGGGAAGCAAAAGCCUUGAACAUGCAUGUGCUCAAUUUAAUUGUUUCUUGAACAGAAUGAACUACGGAAUGCUGGCAACUCCCAGAAGCUGGAAGAGGCAAGGAGUGGACUUUCCCCUACAGCCCGCAGAGGGAGUGAGGCACCUGCCGAUGAAUUGAUUUUAGCCCAGUGGUACUGAUUCCAGACUUCUGGCCUCCAGAACGAUAAGAGAAUGAACUUCUGUUGUUUGAAGUCACCAAGUUUGUGGUAAUUUGUAACAACAGUCACAAGAAACUAAUACAAAAGGUAUAAAGCAACAUUUCUUUUGAGUAAAUGUUAGUUUUCGUGCUGAUUCCAAAUGCAAGUGUUAACAAAGGUAUGGUAAACUGCUUUUCAAAAUGAAAAUUUCAAUCAAAAUGAUGUGUCAUUGACAAAAUAAAUUUUCUUUUCAGAAACUUUCAUUUAUGAGUUCGAAUAUAACUAGUAAACAGAGUGCAUGAAGGCAUUUGACAAAAUCAUUUUGUUUACUGAGCUUUUUUUAAACUGAUGAAUCUUCUCAUAUGAAGUGUUUUGUUGAUCUGCCAGUGAGUUUUUUUUAAUUUGUCGAGCACAGUGAAACUGACUGAAUUAUCUAAUAAAAGAAUAAACCUUUUAAAAACAUCUCUUUUCUUUUGGUUUAAUAUCUACUGAUCCUACUUUUAUUCUGGACUUUUUCAAAACUAAUACCUGAUGGGGAAACAAAAUGUAUAACAUGAAUCUAAAUUCUAGCAAAACAGUCAGUUAUUAUUUAACAGCAUUUACCCUUAUAUAAAGUCUCUAAAAUGUGGCCUUCUAUCCAAAGAAGUGAUAGCAUUUAAAGGAAGACUUGUGGAAGUUUCGAGAAGCAAGAUUCUUGUAGCAACUACUGAAACAGGGAGAGUGGCUAACUGCCUGUUUUUCUAGAAACUUCUCAGUGUGGUGUGCUUGAUCUUGGUAAUAAAUAUGUGCCUAAAGUGGUGCAGUUUCAGAAGCCUGACUUUGUUGAUUACUCCCAGCGGAUCCAGUGGCAAUCAGUACAAUAUCUCAUUCAUUUCUCUGGGUCCUGGGGAUGUGACACUAAACAAACAAAAAGUGGAGGAAGACAGACAAAAAUAAACAAACAAGUAUUAUCAAUAGUGACAAGUACUGGGCAAAAAAUUUGGCAAGAUAAGUUGAAUAU
rnacentral:lncRNA from 1 species